UGACAGAAUUAUUAUAAAUAUAAUUGAAGUGAUAUUUCAAAAGCGGGUUUUCCCUGUCAA
rnacentral:tRNA from 1 species